rnacentral:rRNA from 1 species
UACGAGUGCCUCAAGCGUUAUCCGGAAUCAUUGGGCGUAAAGGUUGUGUAGGUGGUCAUAUUAGUCUUCUGUUAAAUUCUUCGGCUUAACCGGGGGCAUGCAGAGGAAACGGUAUGACUCGAGGAUGCGAGGGGUCUGUGGAACUCAUAGUGUAGCGGUGAAAUGCGUUGAUAUUAUGGGGAACACCAAAAGCGAAGGCAGCAGACUGGAGCACUCCUGACACUGAAACAAGAAAGCGUGGGUCGCGAAUGGG